rnacentral:tRNA from 1 species
CCCUGGUUAUCUCAGUUGGUAGAGCGCUCCACUGGAAAUGGAGAGGUCCCGGGUUCG